CCAAUAGCGUAUAUUAAAGUUGUUGCAGUUAAAAAGCUCGUAGUUGAAUUUCGAGACCGGUUUACUGGUCGUGCUUUUGUACGUUCUGGUAUAAUCGGUUUCUCUUUUCUGACGAACUAUAAUGCCAUUAAUUUGGUGUUAUAGGGAAUCAGGACUGUUACUUUGAAAAAAUUAGAGUGUUUAAAGCAGGCUCACGCUUGAAUACAUUAGCAUGGAAUAACGAAAUAGGACGUUUGAUUUUAUUUUGUUGGUUUCUAGGAUCGACGUAAUGAUUAAUAGGGAUAGUUGGGGGCAUUAGUAUUCAAUUGUCAGAGGUGAAAUUCUUGGAUUUAUUGAAGACUAACUACUGCGAAAGCAUUUGCCAAGGAUGUUUUCAUUAAUCAAGAACGAAAGUUAGGGGAUCGAAGACGAUCAGAUACCGUCGUAGUCUUAACCAUAAACUAUGCCGACUAGGGAUCGGAUGAUGUUAAUUUUUUAAUGACUCAUUCGGCGCCUUACG
rnacentral:rRNA from 1 species